UACGGAGGAUCCGAGCGUUAUCCGGAUUUAUUGGGUUUAAAGGGUGCGCAGGUUGUUUGAUAAGUCAGUGGUGAAAGUCUGUCGCUUAACGGUAGGAUUGCCAUUGAUACUGUUGGACUUGAAUAUGGAUGAGGUAGGCGGAAUGUGUAGUGUAGCAGUGAAAUGCAUAGAUAUUACACAGAACACCGAUUGCGAAGGCAGCUUACUAAUCCAUCAUUGACGCUGAGGCACGAAAGCGUGGGGAUCAAACA
rnacentral:rRNA from 1 species